AGCUGACUCCCGUAGAGGAAGACACUGUGGAGGCCAGUUCUGGAGCUGUUGCAGCCUCGGUUGCCCGGCCGGGGACCCGAGCCGAAAAGUUAUCGUCAGAAUGUCGGGCAAAGACCGAAUUGAAAUCUUUCCCUCGCGAAUGGCACAGACCAUCAUGAAGGCUCGUUUAAAGGGAGCACAGACAGGUCGAAACCUCCUGAAGAAAAAAUCUGAUGCCUUAACUCUUCGAUUUCGACAGAUCCUAAAGAAGAUAAUAGAGACUAAAAUGUUGAUGGGCGAAGUGAUGAGAGAAGCUGCCUUUUCACUAGCUGAAGCCAAGUUCACAGCAGGUGACUUCAGCACUACAGUUAUCCAAAAUGUAAAUAAAGCGCAAGUGAAGAUUCGAGCGAAGAAAGAUAAUGUAGCAGGUGUUACUUUGCCAGUAUUUGAACAUUACCAUGAAGGAACUGACAGUUAUGAACUGACUGGUUUAGCCAGAGGUGGGGAACAGUUGGCUAAAUUAAAGAGGAAUUAUGCCAAAGCAGUGGAACUACUGGUGGAACUAGCUUCUCUGCAGACUUCUUUUGUUACUUUGGAUGAAGCUAUUAAGAUAACCAACAGGCGUGUAAAUGCCAUUGAACAUGUCAUCAUUCCCCGGAUUGAACGUACUCUUGCUUAUAUCAUCACAGAGCUGGAUGAGAGAGAGCGAGAAGAGUUCUAUAGGUUAAAGAAAAUACAAGAGAAGAAAAAGAUUCUAAAGGAAAAAUCUGAGAAGGACUUGGAGCAAAGGAGAGCAGCUGGAGAGGUGUUGGAGCCUGCUAAUCUUCUGGCUGAAGAGAAGGACGAGGAUCUUCUAUUUGAAUAAUCUUUCCUGUUCUGGUUCUUUUAGAAACCCUAACACUGGCUUCAUUUUAAUUCACAGUGUGUAGGUUUGAUUUGUGUGGCUAUUUAUUUUUUGGCCUAAGAAUUUCACUGGUUGUAAAAUUUACCUAGUCUAUUUAUGGGAUUACUUUUGCAGAAUCAUAAUUUAGCAACCAUUUAUCAUGGAUGAAAGAGAUCUGUAAAACCUGCCCAGGAACUUACAGAAUUUACUUUGCAGAAGCGUUAUCAUACUCCAUUUACAUCUGUGUUACACGUGAUCUGCUUACCAAGCAUAUUAGGAAAUACCUCUUAGGAAGCAUUAGUGGUCUCAGGCCAAUUACUGUGGAGCAGCUUUCAUUCCUACCCACUUGCAAACCCUGGCGCUGUUGUCUGAGAUUGCUGCAGCCAUUUUUGUUACCAUGGUACUUCUCAAACUUUGUGAAAACCUGCACUUUUCCUUGCAUGACAGGUUCCUGUCUUGUCUGUCAUGGGAGCCGUUUUGCCAAUUUAAAUGCGACUGUGGUAUAAACAGUAAAAUGAUUUAAAAAGUCUCACUCAUUCUGUAGCCCAGGCUAGAGUGCAGUGGCAGCAACAUCAAUUCACUGCAACGUCUGCCUCCUCAAUUCAAGAGAUUCUCCUGCUUCAGUCUCCCGAGUAGCUGGGAUUACAGCCUGCUGAACUGUAAAUUCUACCAUCUCCACUUUGCAGAUGAGGAAAUUGAGAUUUUGACAAGUCAAAGAGCACAGCUGGAAUGCAAGUCAAGUAUGAUUUGAUUUAAUUUGAUCUUUAUAUUUUAAGAAUUACGUACUGCCUUUCUAGGAGGCAAAAAUUAGUUUGAAGUAGGGAUCCAGAUUAGUGGUUUUCCACAUUUAGGUAAAUUCAAUAUAAAGCAACAAGCCAAAGGACCCUAGAUUUCUCCUGUGGCUUCUUAAAUACCUGGAAUGUAUUGGCCUUGUUAAAAUACUUACAAAAGUGCAGAUGACUUUAUAGUUUAGCAUUUGUUAAAAAGAAAUCAAGAAAACAAUGGACACAUAAUUUGUUGUGUGGAGUCAGUUAUCUGAAACAUAGGAGAAGAAUAUAGAUCAGGAAUAGGAAUGGAAAGCUGAACUGCGGUGACAGGUGUAUAUAUGUAAGAAACUCUUUGUUGGUGUAUGAUUUAUGACCUUUGGGAGAUGUACAGCAGAAAAAAAGGAGAAAUGAAGAAUGGAGAAACAAAGUGUGUUAUAUAUUUGCCAACAAUUCACAUGCUGCCUCAGUGUCCUCAAAUCCCAGGCUGCACAUAAGGUCCAUUUGCCUGAGUAUUACAUACCUCCUUCUCCAGAAAACUUUCAAGUUCACAGCCUUGCGUUGUCCAUCUUUAAUACACUUAGUUGUUGGUUUUAAUAAUUAAGGAAACAGGACCUACCUAUACCUGUGCCAACAGGGGGCACUAUCCCUCUGUAAAGAACAAAUCAAAAAGUAUUUUGUGUUGUAGCUGGAGGAUCCAAUGGUCUUGCUUUUGGCAAAAACUUGAAGAGGAGGGUGGUCUUUACAUGUGUGGAAACCUUGAGUGGCCGAGCAAAUAGCAAGAGAAAUUGCUUAGUGGCUUUUAAAAUUUGAAAUAAUUUUACUUUUUAUUUUUACAAUACAGUGUACAGUAUGACAUCUCAAAAUAACAGAGUGCAGAUACAGGAAAAGAGUACAAAGGGGGAUUAACAACAGAUGUCAGAAGGUUACCUUUAUUAAGGCUAAAUCCCUGCUUUAUAUUUUCCACACAUUCACAAAAUUACAUUCAAAUCAUUCCUUAUCAAUACUUAUUUCUUAGGCCAUGAGAAAAGGAAGAUAAUCCAGACAUUAGAUUUUCAUAGAAAGCAAAUCUGGAUUAGUCUAAGUAAUAUUCUCCUUCCAUUUGUUCUGACAACGAAAAUUUGAGAAACAAAGAUAUGCACCAACCUAAAACUUCCUUAUUUGGAUUUUCCAAGUACAUAGCAUUAGUUAUUGAUAUCAUUUCUAUAUUAAAUGGUAAGACCUCCCCCACACUGGGGUCUCCAGUCAGAACCACAGAGGGACAGGAAAUGGAAUUGGCCAGAGUGGCUGUACAACUAGGUGUACAGCAAGGCUUUUUUCCAUAUUCUUUUGUGGAGGUCAGCAACAACUCAGUUUUCACUUUAAGGACUAUGUUGAAUAUCAGCACAUCCUCAUCACUAGGAUUUAGAAAAGUUUAGGACAUUUCUAUCUACCAUUGCUGAUGAGGAAGGGGAGAAUGAUAGGACUUCACUGACCUUGAAAUAUUUAUCAUCUCAGACUUCCUAAAAGUGUGGCAUGGCAUGGCCUCUGCCUUGAUACAAGAUCUGCUUGUUAAAGCCAUGUUCCUGAAUCUUGACAGCACAUGGCCCUACUGCAGGCCUAAUGUCUACAGCGGGUACAAGAGCCACUCACUGACACUACCUACACCCUCACUCUAACUUAACAUGAACUGCCAAUAGUUUAGCUCUUGGAGUUGAAAACAGUUGUCAGUUACAAUAAGCAGGAUCACAAAACUCCAUUGUCGACCAUAGACUACACUUCAUUCCUGAGACGUAAACUGGAAAACUGAAAAGAUUAAGUGCUAAGUAUAUUCCUUAGUUUUUAAUGCUAAAAAUCGGUGUGACCUGUGAAAUUUCCUGGCUCUAAACUGGAGUAUUUCAGAUCUGAAGAGACAGUAUGUAUGGCAUUCCUUCCCUCAACCCAAGAAUGUUAUUUUCUUCCUAAGGAACAUUAUCUUGAAAAUAUUUCCAUUUAAAACACUCUCCAGCCAACUUAAUAGGCCAUGCAAAUUUGAACAGAAAAAGGCGACAUAUAAACUGUCUACAUUUGUUCAAAUAAAAUUAUGUAGAAGAAGAAAAAAAAAUCAAAUAUAUACAUGACACAAAUUACUCCUUAAACAUAAUGCUUAUGUUAAAUUAAAUGAUGUCAGUAUUAUUCCAGUGUUUAGCUCUGGGUGUAGGAAAUGCUGUAGCUAAAGUCACCAUAAAAAUAAAAUCAAGGCAUUCACAUUUGAGGUUGUUUGUUACACAUCACACUAUCCUAAAGGCUUGAAAAGACUGCAAAUUAAGUUUCCAUGCCAAUUAUACACGUUGAAUUUUAAAGCUACAGCUAUAGAGACAGUACGAAAAUCCUAUUAGCUUAAAUGUUUCUUUUAUGAUUUACCAAGCUGUUGCAUUCUGGUCAUAAGAGGCAGACCUUGUUAGGUUAAAAACCUAUUUCUAUAUAUUUAAUACCUUUUUCUCUCCAAUAUUCUUUUCCUAAAAUGUUCAAAUGACUUUCAGGUCUUCCUUUCCUUUUGAUCUUAAAGUCAAUUGUCAUAAUAUUUCCCAAGGACACAUAUAAUUUUAUUCUAAUGCUAAACAAGUGUUUUCAAUGACCAUUUGUUGAUCUAUUAAAUAUUAAUAUACAGUACAGCAGCUAUAUUCAUCAACAGAAUUCCAGUUUAUUACCUAUAUAUACGUAGCACAGUCAUAGGAUACUGUGCUCAUACAUAAAAAUGCAAAAACUGUCAAAUGUGCUAUCCUCCCAUGUAUACAAAAAACUAUUAGCAUCAUGAGGAAGAAACUUUUUAACAGUCAAUACAGAUUAUAAUGAACACCUGCCAUUCAUAAAAAUGUAACAUACAUUCUAUUAUACUAUGCUGAUGAGGGAAGGGAAGCUAAGUUAGUAAAUCAGUUGAGACGACUUAAA